UGUCACUAGGCGCUUGGUUGGUGCUCCUCCAACGGGGAGGCUAACACACAUGCGUGGAGAGCAUUUUUACAUUAGGCCCUCUUCUUAGGAAAUCUGUUCCUGCAUAGAGCGUUUGUGAGUUUAGAGCUACUGCUUCUGUCUUUCUGUGAGUUCAUAUCUGUUUUCAGUUCAUAUUCCUGCUACAGUGGUUGAUGUUCCCGGUAUUUACGGUUUCUAUAGUUUAGUCUGGAUCUAAGGGGUGGUUAUUUAUUUCUGCUGGGAGUUUGCCUCCUAUACACCACGGUCUUUUUCGAAGAUCCCGACCGCGGUGUUACCAAUUACCACCCCCUUAUGGAUUACGUCUGGAUUUGACGGCUUGUCCA